rnacentral:sRNA from 1 species
ACACAGGGAAGGAGGUGGUCCGACAAAUUGAUUGACUUAUGGACAUGUGAGGUGGCUGCGAGCUAGCAGCGCCAGGGGCUGAGCCGACGCUCUUCGCGCGAGCGCUCAUCGCACCCGCGCGCGCUGGCGAAUUCCCCGCAGUCACCCGGCCCCCGAGCCUCUCGGUUUUGUCCAACCAGUUACACACGGCUCGGGGGCCGCUCCAU